UGAAGAUAUAUGGAUUGAAUGAUGCUUAUGUAAUUGGCAGUGUGUGACAUUAAUUUUGUAAUAUAUUGUAAUGUGAUUUCUUCACUUUCUACGUUCAAAUAAAACACGACGUUAUUGUGAACCAGUUAUUCAGCAUAUUUACCGACGUCUUAAAGCAACGUAACAAUGAAGAACCACGACGCUAUUGUGAAGCAAUUAUUCAGGAUAUCACGUCGGGGAAGGAUUAAGAACCGCCAUGUAAUUCAAAAUAACAC
rnacentral:lncRNA from 1 species